rnacentral:rRNA from 1 species
UACGAAGGGGGCUAGCGUUGCUCGGAAUUACUGGGCGUAAAGGGCGCGUAGGCGGAUAUUUAAGUCGGGGGUGAAAGCCCAGGGCUCAACCCUGGAAUUGCCUUCGAUACUGGAUAUCUUGAGUUCGGGAGAGGUGAGUGGAAUGCCGAGUGUAGAGGUGAAAUUCGUAGAUAUUCGGCGGAACACCAGUGGCGAAGGCGACUCACUGGCCCGAUACUGACGCUGAGGCGCGAAAGCGUGGGGAGCGAACAGG